rnacentral:lncRNA from 1 species
UAAUGAUUCUGCACUAAGGUGAAGUGCAAUUCUUUCAUAGCCUGGUAAAUGUCUGAGGCUAUUGUCUGAUUUCGUUUGUGCUCUUUGAUUAGUGGUACUUUCACACUGGAUGAGGCGCCAGUUUCCAGCUGCACAGGUUUCAUAUUGUUAUAGUCUUAGCAAUUGAAUACAUAAUCAUGAUCCAAAGC